AUCCCAUGAUGAGGACACUUACGAAGUAACUCCUCGAAUCGUUCCCAAGCCUCAUACAAACACUUGUCAUCCAAUUUUGGAAAGUUGUGAUCUCGUUCCUCAACUU
rfam:Gossypium hirsutum cultivar TM-1 chromosome 2, whole genome shotgun sequence